rnacentral:lncRNA from 1 species
AUGACACUGCACUCCAGCCCAGGUAAUGGAGAGAGACACUGUCUCUAAAAAAAGUUUAAAGAUGUAAAACGAUAUCAAAGUACAUAAUACAAAGGACAUAACUUAAAAUGUUGAAAGUGGUAACAAGAUUUAUAAAUGAAACAGAGUCACCUGUACCACUCUCUAUUCCUACUUUGAGGGACAAACACUUUCAACUGAUUCUUUUCCUGGUAUUUUCCUUCACUUUUCUGUGUCCCUGGUUCUCAAAGUGGGGUCUCUAGAAUUUGGGAGAAAUGCAAAUUCUUAGACCCCACCCCAGAUAUACCGAAUCAGACUAUGAGGGUGGAGCCCAGCAGCCAAUGUUUAAACAAACCUGUCUCCAGAGAUUCUGCCUCACGACCCCCCAAAGUUCUGACUGUUCUGGGUGAGGUGUUUAUACAAUGACUUCCUCCUAUGGACUGUGAAGGCUUACCUUUCUUCCACCCUCUCCCCAGCCCCACAAUCCUGCCUUCUUAUCUUUUCAGCACAGCUAUAUGACCAAUUUUGAUGAUGUUAAAAUUCAGUGUUUGUUGUAAUUAUGUAAAUAUUUUCACAACUAUCAGUAUAUUUCAUGUUUUAUGUAACUUUUAUUUUCCCUGGACUGAAUAACUGCCUCAUUUUUUUGUUGUCGUGAUGGCUUAGUGGGUUUGUUGUUGUUGUUUUUUAGAAACGAAGUCUCAGUAUGUUGCCCAAGCUGGUCUUGAACUCCCGGUCUUAAGCGAUCUCCUUGCCUCAGCCUCCCGAGUACUUCUCAGUUUUCUAUACAAAUCUCUCAUCUAUCCCUAACCUCUCAGGUAAACCAUGGAUCUCUUCUCAGUACAUUCAGACAUGUAAUAUAAUUUUUUAAAAACUGGAGGGUGGGGAGCCUGUUUGUGUUUUUCUUGGCAAAAUCCUUUCUGCAACUCUAUAUCCUCCUUUUUGAAUCUGGACAGGAUCCUUUCUAGACCCACUGGGCAGCUACCAUCUUGGAACCUCCCUUCACCUUUCUCUGGGUAAAUCCCUGCACCUCUCUACUGCCUCCUGGGUCCCAUGACUUCUUUUUUGGAUAAAAAAGAGGAACAUAUCUUCCACUUUAGAUGGAACACAUCUUCCAGUAGCUUCCUGAGGAAGGCUACAUGGAAAGUAUAUAUUUUAGGGAAACUGUAUGUCUAAAAAUGUAUUCUAAUCUCACACUUCACUGAUAGUUUGGGAAUUCACUGAUAGUUUGGGAAAACUCUGGGUGAGAAAUUGCCCUCCAGAAUUCAGAAAGCACACUGCUCCAAUAUCUCCAGCUGUCAGUAAAGUCUGCUGCCAUUCUGAUUACCAAUCCUUUGUACGUACUCCGUUUUUCCCCUUUGCUGGAGACUUACAUCCUCUCUUAACUUUGACCUCCUAAAGAUUCAUGAUGCUCCUUGGUGUAGUCUAUUUUCAUUCUCUGUGCUGGGUACUCAACAGACCUCUUUAAUCUAGAAACUCAAGUCCUCUGUUCUGAGAACGCUUGAUUCCUUUCUUUGACAAUUUCCUCCUUCCAUUGACUGUAAUCUUUCUAGAUCUCCUAUGAUUCAUAUAUAGGACGUCCUAGGCCAAUCCUCCAAUUUUCUUUUCUCUCCCAGUUUUCAUCUUUCUAUUCUACACAUUUUGGGAGAUUGUCUCAAUUUUAUCUUUUACACACUCUUUGGAUUUCAUUUUUAAUAUAGUUAAUAAUUUCUAAAAAUGCUUGUUUUCCUUUUUUUUUUUUUAAGUUUCCUGUUAUUGUUGCAUGGAUACAGUAUCUUCGCUCUAAAUUCAGAUACUAUGAUUUUGUGACCUUUUCUUUUGUUAUUUACAUUGCCUUUUUUUCCUACUUCUAUUUGUCAAAAUUCACAUUGCCUUUAUUUCCUUGUUUUUCAGUUUACCUGUUCUGGUCUUUCCUCACAUAUCUGACAAUCGUUAGCUCUCUUUGUAUUUCAAAGAAAAGCUCUGGAAUGUGUCUGGGACCUGUGUAUAUAUGGGCAAAACUCAUCAACGAAUGGGCUCCCUGGUGAUUAUUUGGCAGAUUCCUGGCAAUUUCAUCAGAGGAUCCAAAAAUUGGAGAAACUCCAAGAUGAACCCCAAAGAUCUCCAUCUCCAGCUGUUCACACUCCUAUGUAAUCUCUAGCCCUUGGGUGUGGAAAGGACUUGUGACUUACUUUAACCAACAACAGAAUAUAGCAAAGAUGCCUAAGAACUGCAAAUGAGAAAUAAUUUUCUCACCUGGUCACAGCAUCUACCAAGAAUGGCGCUGGGGGAGAGAUCAGUGAG